GACGAACGCUGGCGGCGUGCUUAACACAUGCCAGUCGAACGGAAAGGCCCUGCUUUUUUGUGGUUCUCGAGUGGCGAACGGGUGAGUAACACGUGAGUAACCUGCCCUGGACUUUGUGAUGACUUCAGGAAACUGGGGCUAAUACCGGAUAGGAGCUCCUGCUGCAUGGGGGUGUUUGGAAAGUUUCGUCUGUUGGGGAUGUACUCGCGGCUUAUCAGCUAGUUGGUGGAGUAGUGGCUUACCAAGGCUUUGACGGGUAGCCGGCCUGAGAGGGUGAACGGUGACAUUGGGACUGAGAUACGGCCCAGACUCCUACGGGAGGCAGCAGUGGGGAAUAUUACACAAUGGGCGGAAGCCUGAUGCAGCAACGCAGCGUGCGGGAUGACGUCUUUCGGGUUGUAAACCGCUUUCGCCUGUGACGAAGCGUGAGUGACGGUAAUGGGUAAAGAAGCACCGGCUAACUACGUG
rnacentral:rRNA from 1 species